rnacentral:rRNA from 1 species
AUUUGAAAUCUGGCUCUUUCAGGGUCCGAGUUGUAAUUUGCAGAGGGCGCUUUGGCGUUGGCAGCGGUCCAAGUUCUUUGGAACAGGACGUCACAGAGGGUGAGAAUCCCGUACGUGGUCGCUAGCCUUCGCCGUGUAAAGCCCCUUCGACGAGUCGAGUUGUUUGGGAAUGCAGCUCUAAAUGGGAGGUAAAUUUCUUCUAAAGCUAAAUACUGGCCAGAGACCGAUAGCGCACAAGUAGAGUGAUCGAAAGAUGAAAAGCACUUUGGAAAGAGAGUCAAAUAGCACGUGAAAUUGUUGAAAGGGAAGCGCUUGCAGCCAGACUUGCCUGUAGUUGCUUAUCUGGACUUUUGUCCGGUGCACUCUUCUGCGGGCAGGCCAGCAUCAGUUUGGGCGGUUGGAUAAAGGUCUCUGUCAUGUACCUCCUUUCGGGGAGGCCUUAUAGGGGAGACGACAUGCAACCAGCCUGGACUGAGGUCCGCGCAUCUGCUAGGAUGCUGGCGUAAUGGCUGUAAGCGGCCCGUCUUGAAACACGGACCAAGGAGUCUAACAUCUAUGCGAGUGUUUGGGUGUCAAGCCCAGACGCGUAAUGAAAGUGAACGGAGGUGGGAACCCUUUGGGUGCACCAUCGACCGAUCCUGAUGUCUUCGGAUGGAUUUGAGUAAGAGCAUGGCUGUUGGGACCCGAAAGAUGGUGAACUAUGCUUGAAUAGGGUGAAGCCAGAGGAAACUCUGGUGGAGGCUCGCAGCGGUUCUGACGUGCAAAUCGAUCGUCAAA